rnacentral:rRNA from 1 species
UACGGGGGGGUAAGCGUUGUUCGGAAUUACUGGGCGUAAAGGGCGCGUAGGCGGCCUUCUAAGUCGAACGUGAAAUCCCCGGGCUCAACCCGGGAACUGCGUCCGAUACUGGAAGGCUUGAAUCCGGGAGAGGGAUGUGGAAUUCCAGGUGUAGCGGUGAAAUGCGUAGAUAUCUGGAGGAACACCAAUUGCGAAGGCAGCUCACUACGCGAAUAUUGACACUGAGGCACGAAAGCGUGGGGAUCAAACAGG